CCAGAAGUGGCCAGGACAAACAGAGGAGAAAGGAGGACUCCUCUCCCCAGGAUCUGCAUCUGGGAAGCACCUGCUCCCUCCUGCUACCCUCCACAGCGGUCGGGCAGGAGCUGGCAGGAGAGACCAGAGGAAGAUGAAGUGAGAACUCCUGAAGGAACAGAGAAGACAGAGCCCAUGGCCUCUGGACCUGGGAACUAGGAAGCCUAUACCCUCAUAGCCCACAGACCACUGGCUUUAUCAGCCACAAAUGCUUGCGGGGCCUUAGGACUGUGUAGUCACAGCAGCUGCACAUUUAACACCCUUGAGGCCAUCCAUCCUGGGUCAAAGCAGCUGCCAAAUUAGUCUGUAGUCAUUUCUCUAUAAUCCAUUUUUUUCCUUCCAGCAUUGGGAAGGACAGACAGUGCCACUGAUUGUCCCUGGAGGGAUAACAGACGCUGUGGAGUCCUGACUUGGGCCAGACACAGGCCCAACUCAUGAGCUGUAUAGUAUGAGGCCAAGCAACAGAAGUCACUGGCCCAGGGGCAUCGGAAAAGCUAAUGUCACCAACUACAGAGGCCAGAAGGAAUAAACCUGAAGCGGUUGCUCAAGUCACACAGGAGUUGCCCAGCUGAGUCCCAGUGUCCCAAGACGCUUGUAUCACGUCAAGUCAGAUUCCAGGGAGCCACAAGCCACAGAGGAGUGGCUGGGUGCCUGGGCUGGGUAUGAAGAGGGCUUUAAUCCAGACGAGAGUGGACACUGUGCCUACAGCCAGCCCUUCCUGCCUUUGCCCUUCAUCCCCAGGAGCAGGAAAACCUCCUCUCUGGAAAGGCAGACCCUGGCUCAAGUCUCAUGAGAGGUGCAUGCUGGGCCUGGCUCCAACAUUAGCCUUUCGGGGUUCACCUGUCCCUGCUUUCAGGGGCACAUACACCCAAGGCACUCUGUAGGUGGCCUUGGAGGGUGCCCACCCACCUCAGGCCCUGCUGUCUCCUCCUCAGCAGGUAAAGGGAGCCAAUCAGCCUCACAUCCAGGCAGCUGUCCAGGGACCAGGAAUAACGAGAACUCCACCCCCUUC